UGCAACUUGCCUAUCAGAGGGGGAUAACCCGGAGAAAGUCGGACUAAUACCGCAUGAAGCAGGGGCCCCCCAUGGGGAGUAUUUGCUAAAGAUUCAUCGCUGAUAGAUAGGCAUGCGUUCCAUUAGGCAGUUGGCGGGGUAACGGCCCACCAAACCGACGAUGGAUAGGGGUUCUGAGAGGAAGGUCCCCCACAUUGGUACUGAGACACGGACCAA
rnacentral:rRNA from 1 species